GACGAACGCUGGCGGCGUGCUUAACACAUGCAAGUCGAACAGAAAGGCCCUGCUUUUGUGGGGUGCUCGAGUGGCGAACGGGAGAGUAACACGUGAGUAACCUGCCCUUGACUUUGGGAUAACUUCAGGAAACUGGGGCUAAUACCGGAUAGGAGCUCCUGCUGCAUGGUGGGGGUUGGAAAGUUUCGGCGGUUGGGGAUGGACUCGCGGCUUAUCAGCUUGUUGGUGGGGUAGUGGCUUACCAAGGCUUUGACGGGUAGCCGGCCUGAGAGGGUGACCGGCCACAUUGGGACUGAGAUACGGCCCAGACUCCUACGGGAGGCAGCAGUGGGGAAUAUUGCACAAUGGGCGGAAGCCUGAUGCAGCAACGCCGCGUGCGGGAUGACGGCCUUCGGGUUGUAAACCGCUUUCGCCUGUGACGAAGCGUGAGUGACGGUAAUGGGUAAAGAAGCACCGGCUAACUACGUG
rnacentral:rRNA from 1 species